rnacentral:rRNA from 1 species
CAGUCGCCACGGUAAUACAGAGGGUGCGAGCGUUAAUCGGAUUUACUGGGCGUAAAGCGUGCGUAGGCGGCUAAUUGAGUCGGAUGUGAAAUCCCCGAGCUUAACUUGGGAAUUGCAUUCGAUACUGGUUAGCUAGAGUGUGGGAGAGGAUGGUAGAAUUCCAGGUGUAGCGGUGAAAUGCGUAGAGAUCUGGAGGAAUACCGAUGGCGAAGGCAGCCAUCUGGCCUAACACUGACGCUGAGGUACGAAAGCAUGGGGAGCAAACAGGAUUAGAUACCCGAGUAGUCCCUGUCUCUUAUAA